rnacentral:rRNA from 1 species
CACGUAGGGUGCGAGCGUUGUCCGGAAUUAUUGGGCGUAAAGAGCUCGUAGGCGGUGUGUCGCGUCGGCCGUGAAAACCUGGGGCUUAACUCUGGGCUUGCGGUCGAUACGGGCAUCACUGGAGUUCGGCAGGGGAGACUGGAAUUCCUGGUGUAGCGGUGAAAUGCGCAGAUAUCAGGAGGAACACCAGUGGCGAAGGCGGUGCUCUGGGCCGGAACUGACGCUGAGGAGCGAAAGCGUGGGGAGCAAACAGG